GUGAACAAUGGCGGCCACCACUUCGUUUUAUAUGUCUUUUAUUCGUGUUUCUAGGUCACAAAAUCAACUUUUAAGAUAUUUUCAGGCGAGAAUGUAGGUCGCACCUUGCUUAGACUCCACUCGAAGGGGAAGAGACUAUGUGUGUUGCCACCACAAGGACAACCCUGGGAGAACCUAUUUCAGAGCUGUUUUUUGGGGGGCUGUCAACAACCGAGGAAGACGGAUAAAGGAAAGCUGAUGGAACAGAAGGUCCAGAGGUUUAGUACGAAGGAAGUGAAGACGGAUAUCAAAAGGACGAAGAGUGAAAAGGCAGUUGGUCCAGAUGACACACCUGGGAUAUUUCCUGCAUCAUUUGGAUAAUGACUUUUUGAUGAUGUGGUAGGUACGGUUUCCCCUCAUCAUUCCAUGAAUUAACAGCUUCUGUGUUGCAUAGCUGAUCCUUUCUGUACUCCUUAAAAGUCAUUUGUCAUGGUCCGGGUGAGUGCCUGUAUUUUUCCAUAGAGUCGGUGGUUCCACCUCUGGGAGGAGCCACCGUAUUCCUGCAUGCUGUCCACACCAAGCCUCUCAGCAGCUGCUCAGCCACAGCUCUUGUUCACUCUACUCACCUGCCUGCUUCCCUGCCUCAACAUUUGGAUACCUUGGAUCACCACUGCUUGGAUUCACCUCCGCUCACCCUGACCACCUACCCCUCCACCCCAUUAUUCCACCUGCAGCAAUGACCCUGAAUCUACCCGUCCUGUCUGUCUACCCCUUUGCCCCCACGUCACUAAGUUUUCUAGUUUCACUGCUUCAUAGUAUUUAGUUGUGCUUCACGUUACUUCAUAGUUCUUGGUUAUAUUCUAGUUCACAGUACAUCAUUGACUUUUCAAGUGUUUCCCCGC
ensembl:lncRNA